rnacentral:lncRNA from 1 species
CGUUAGUAUUAACCUGAGGCGUCACGAAGACUGUCCUUGGAAUUUAUCCGCCUCAAUGUGCGCAAACUCCCCAGGAUACAGCAGGUCCUUCUCCUAGUGAUGGAGGUAACAGAACAGCAAGAACUAUAAGUUUAUCAGGUAGAUGUUUAUUCAGGAAUUAGAAAAUUGGAGGAGAAGAAGAACAAAAUUAGGAGUUAUUAGUGUGACUUUAUAUAUUUUGUUGCUACUGAUCAAGUAUGAGAAAGAAGAAUAGAGCUUAAUUUUCUAUGUGUUUUUGUUCACGUUGGAACGUAAUAUUAUAUAGCAACAAAACUGACUUGGUCUUGCAAAAAUAAAGCCACAAUAAUAGCUAACAAAUUUGCACGUUUUUGAAAAUGAAAAAGUAACUGUUGUAAACAAGUUAAAUGUGCUAGUUAAUUGAAUUAACUUUUGAAAUAAAAUAAAUAAAUAUACAACAAUCCCCCACAUAUUUCAAAAGUUAAAAUAAAAGAAUUUUUCUGAGUAAACAUCGUAGAUGUAAUGCAUCGGAACAGUAUAGCAAGCUAUGGAACCUGUCCUAGACUAAUAAGACUUAACACACAGUGAAUUGGUUUAGCAAGCUAUGGAAUCCAAGACACUUGUUAUGUGUUAGAGGUCUCACAAUCACAUUACACCCCCAGAAUUCUAGCUAUUACGCCGUUGUGCGCUAAUAGGCCAUGCGCGUGCCUGGUAUUCAUGAGUGCUCUAGAGACCCGCCACGGUCUCAUGCAAGCGGCCCCACUUGACACUCAUAUAGGUGAUUCCAUCCAGUGCAUGCUCCAACCACACACCACCCAUAAGGGCUUAUGGUAAUCAUUAAAAGCCGUUUAAGCUUACCCAUCAAUUUUAUAUAAAUUAGCACUCUCACAUCCAAUAUCAUACACCAUAGGAAAGGGAAGAAAAAGUUUUAGUGCUAACAGAACUAACAAGUAACUUGUUUUUCCCAUUGAACCUUCUUCAUGGGAUCUCCAGUCACAAAGGUUGGGUUACCAUUACUUGUCGUUUUCAAUUGGCUCAAGUCCCAUUCCCCUCGAUGUUACACAUAUUAAUUUCAUCCCUAGAGGCUUUGUCAAUGGAUCGGCUAGAUUCACUUCUGACUUCACAUAAUCGAUCGAUAUAGUUCCAUAUUUUUGCAAUUGCUUUACUAUAUUAUGUCUCAGACGUACAUGUCUAUUUUUGCCAUUGUAAGAUGUAUUCUUUGCAAUAGCUACAGUCGAUUGGCUAUCACAAUGAAUUGACACUGAUGGUGUUGGUUUUGUUCCUAAAGGAAUACUUACCAAAAAAUUUCUUAACCACUCAGCUUCACUACCAGUCAACUCUAGAGCUACAAACUCUGACUCCAUAGUUGAUCUAGCAAUUAUUGUUUGUUUAGCUGAUCUCCAUGUAAUCGCACCACCACCUAGUGUGAAUACAUAACCACUAGUAGAUUUUGUCUCAUCUGAAUCAGAGAUCCAGUUAGCAUCGCUAUACCCUUCUAGUACAGCGGGAAAUCCACUAUAUACAAUACCAUAAUUCAUGGUACCUUUCAAAUAUUUCAUAAGUCUAGCAAGUGCCUGCCAGUGAUCCUGACUCGGGUUAUGAGUAUAUCUACUCAAACGACCUACUGCAUAUGCAAUAUCAGGUCGAGAAAAAUUCAUCAGAUGCAGUAAGCUCCCAAUUACUUGAGAAUACUGAUUCUGGUUAACAGGAUCACCUCUAUUUUUCACCAAUUUAAAGUUAGCAUCAUAAGGGGUACUCACAGGAUUAGAGUCAAAAUGACCAAACUUUUUAAGAAGUUUCUCAACAUAAUGUUGUUGGGAUAGUAUUAUACUAUCACCCUUCCUUAUGAUUCUUACUCCCAAAAUAACACUUGCUUCACCCAUGUCUUUCAUAUCAAACUGAGAUGAAAGAAAAGAUUUAGUUCUGAUCACAAUAUCAAUGCAAGUACCAAAAAUGAGCAUGUCAUCCACAUAUAAGCAUAUAAUAACAUGUUCUCCAUCCAAAGAUUUAACGUAAACACAUUUAUCAACUUCAAUAGAGGAGAAACCAUCACUAAUCAAAAUUUGAUUAAAUUUUUCAUGCCAUUGUUUUGGUGCUUGUUUCAAACCAUAUAAAGAUUUAAGGAGUUUACAAACCUUUUUCUCUUGACCAGAAACUACACAUCCUUCAGGUUGAGCCAUAUAAAUUUCCUCUUCUAAAUCACCGUUUAAAAAUGCAGUUUUUACAUCCAUUUGAUGUAUAACAAGUUUAUAAAUAGAAGCUAAAGCUAUUAAAAUUCGAAUUGAAGAAAUUCUCGUUACUGGAGCAAAAGUAUCAAAAUAAUCAAUGUUUUCUUUUUGAGAAAAAUCUUUUGCAACUAAAUGAGCUUUGUAUUUAUCGAUUGAUCCUUCAGGAUUAUAUUUUCUUUUAAAAAUCCAUUUGCAACCAAUAGUUUUUGAUCCUGGAGGUAAAUCAACUAAAAUCCAAGUUUUGUUUUUGCUAAUAGAAUCAAUUUCGAUUUUAAUAGCUUCUUUCCAAAAUUUUGAAUCAGAAGAAGAAAUGGCUUCAUGAAAAUUUUUAGGCUCAUUAUCAACAAGAUAAAUAUAAAAAUCACUUCCGAAGGAUGUCUCUUUUCUUUGUCGUGUACUUCUCCUUAAUUCCUCAUUAGGACCUUCAAAAUUAAUUUCUAAAGGUUGCUUAGAGCUACCUUCAGAUUUAGAUUUCAAAGGAAAAAUAUUUUCAAAAAAUUCAGCAUUCUUAGUUUCCAUAAUUGUAUUGCAAUCUAAAACAUCACUUUUCAAAACAAGAAACCUAUAGGCAACACUAUUUUGAGCAUAUCCUAUAAACAUACAAUCAGAUGUUUUAGAUCCUAACUUUCUUUUCUUAGGUUCAGGUAACAUGACUUUAGCAAGACACCCCCACACUUUUAAAUAUUUCAAGUUAGGUUGAUAACCUCUCUAAAGUUCAUAAGGUGUCUUACCGGUAGUUCUUUGAGGUAUUCUAUUUAAUAAAAAACAUGCAGACAAUAAAGCUUCACCCCAAAGAUUAUUAGGAGCAUGAGAACUAACUAGCAUAGAAUUCAUCAUUUCUUUUAAAGUCCUAUUUUUCCUUUCAGCCACGUCAUUAGAUUCAGGAGAAUAAGGAGGAGUUAUUUCAUGUAUAAUGCCUUCUUUUUCACAAAAUUCAUUAAAAGAAAUAUACUCACCACCACGAUCAGAUCUAACUCUUUUAAUUUUCUUAUUUAAUUGACUCUCUACUUCAGCUUUAUAAGAUAAAAACAUGUCAAACGCUUCAUCUUUAUGCCUUAAUAAAUAAACCUUAGUGUAUCUAGAGAAAUCAUCAAUAAAAGUCACAUAAUAACAUUUACCACCUCUUGUUGGAGUUUGCUUUAAAUCUCCUAAAUCAGUAUGAAUUAAAUCAAGCAAAUUAGAUUCACGUUGCACAGGUGGACAUGUCUUUUUGGUUAAUUUACAUUCAACACAAACAUCACAUUUAUCAUGUUGUUUAUCACCAAGAGAAAUGAUACCAAGACGAUCUAAUUUAUAAACAUAUGAAGAACUAAUAUGUCCUAAUCUAGCAUGCCAAAUAUCAUAUGAAUCAACCAAACAUGCAGAGGGAAUAUUUUUAUUCAUAAUUGCAGAGAUAUCCAACACAAAUAAACCCCCACAUUUUGAAAGUAAGACUUUGUUUGAUUCAAAAGUGACUGUUACACCCACUUUGCUCAAUAUAGACACAGACACCAAAUUAUAACUCAUAUGAGGCACAUAUAAAACAUUACUUAAAGAAAUGGUUUUUCUAGAAGCAGGUUUUAAAUCCACUUUUUCUAUACCAAGAACAUCAAUUGUUCUCAAAUCACUUAAAAUGAUAUGCUCCUUUCCUUUCCCUAUAGUUUUAUAAGAUGUGAACAUAUUUUUAUUUGCACAAAUAUGUGAGGUAUGUGAGGUAGAGCCUGAGUCUAGCACCCAUGGUUUUUCUUUCAUUGAAAGUAUUGUAUGAGAAAUAACAUUCACAUGUAUAUCAUCUGACAAAACUAAAUUUAAUUGAGAAUCAACAGCUUGUCUACUUUGAGCAAUAUGGAUAUUUGAUUUAAAAGUUUUAUUGUAAGGGCUUUUCAACAAAGCAGAUUCCAUAAUAAUAAUAAUAAUAAUAAUUCAAUCACGUAUGAGACCAAGCGAAUGAACAUCAAUGUUUCUAAUUCAAAAAACCAAUAUAUAACAAUAGAAGUUACGGCAAUUUAUUUUGGAAAUCAAUUGUUGAAUGAAAAUUGUGUACCUUGUAGAAGGUCUGUACUAAUUUUCCAAUCACCCAAACAUUAACUUGCGGUCACAAUUAUAAAGGAUAAAUUCCAAGAUUGUUGUACCUUAUGUGUAAACAGCAACCGCAACACCGCAACUUUAAGUAAUAACACAGCAACCGCAACUUUGAAGAACACCGCAGCCACCGCAACUUCAAAUAACACGGAACCUGAUUCUGCAAAACAAACUAGAAAGGAAACCUGUAAAAUCACGUUAGUAUUAACCUGAGGCGUCACGAAGACUGUCCUUGGAAUUUAUCCGCCUCAAUGUGCGCAAACUCCCCAGGAUACAGCAGGUCCUUUUCCUAGUGAUGGAGGUAACAGAACAGCAAGAACUAUAAGUUUAUCAGGUAGAUGUUUAUUCAGGAAUUAGAAAAUUGGAGGAGAAGAAGAACAAAAUUAGGAGUUAUUAG